UACAGAGGGUGCGAGCGUUAAUCGGAUUUACUGGGCGUAAAGGGCGCGUAGGCGGUUGUAUGAGUGUGAUGUGAAAGCCCCGGGCUUAACCUGGGAAGUGCAUCGCAAACGAUAUAACUGGAGUAGAUGAGAGGGUGGCGGAAUUUCCGGUGUAGCGGUGAAAUGCGUAGAGAUCGGAAGGAACGUCGAUGGCGAAGGCAGCCACCUGGCAUCAUACUGACGCUGAGGCGCGAAAGCGUGGGGAGCAAACAGG
rnacentral:rRNA from 1 species